UUCAAGGCCAGCCUGGGCUAGGUAGCAAGACCUUGUCUCAAAGGUUUUGUCUCAAACACACACACACACAGCCUUUCUAAUUCCCUGGUGGUUUUAAGGACGUUCAGAGGGGCCCACCUAGGCUAGUGGCUGCUCUUCUUGGGAGGCUGAGUCUCGCAUCCUGUGUCUCCAACCCUGACCCUUGCCUUCCUGCUGCUUCCUCAAGCUGUGUCUGCCCGGGAGGCAGGAAUGAAGCCAGGGACCUGCCCGCCCGCACAGGCGGGCCACAAAGGAGCCCUGACAACUUCAUCAAAGCGAACCCAGAACCUGACCUCUCCUCACCCUGGCGGCGCUCAGUGCCACGUCACAAACAUUCCGCGCGUGGCCGCCAGAGGGCGCCGGCAGCCCGCCCCCAGCUCGCGGCUCCACCUCUAAGCGGGGCCCAUCUAGGGCCCCAGAGGCCCUGCAGCAUCUGGGCUCCUAUGUGCCUUGCCCUAGCUCCCGCACUACUCUGCGCUGUCCCUCCCAAGCGCCAGCAGGGUGUCUGGGUGAUUCCUGGCCGUCUACACUUGCAGCGACAAUUCAGGGUCCCUGAAAACCCUUCCAGAUCUGUACCAGGACUGCAAGUCCCCGUCUGGAAAACCAGCCUGCGCAGUGCCAGAGCUUCCCCUGGGCGUCUUUCCUACUGAGGAACACGUGAUUAUUAGGAGAGCAAAUAACAAAGAAAAAUAAUAAUUAUUAGAGCUACCAUGUAAAUAUUUGUCCCGCCCAGUGGGUGAGGCCAUCAAGGAUCACCAGGUCCCAGCCCAUCCAGUUCCAGGAAGCCUGACAACAUCCACACCGCACCCGAGGCGCGUGGCCCUGCUAUCUCUGCCCCAGACUCCUCCAGUUUCCUCGCAUCGAGGGUUGGGUUUAAAGUUUUUAAAUAUUG